rnacentral:rRNA from 1 species
UUUUAUGGAGAGUUUGAUCCUGGCUCAGGAUGAACGCUGGCGGCGUGCCUAAUACAUGCAAGUCGAGCGAACGGACGAGAAGCUUGCUUCUCUGAUGUUAGCGGCGGACGGGUGAGUAACACGUGGAUAACCUACCUAUAAGACUGGGAUAACUUCGGGAAACCGGAGCUAAUACCGGAUAAUAUUUUGAACCGCAUGGUUCAAAAGUGAAAGACGGUCUUGCUGUCACUUAUAGAUGGAUCCGCGCUGCAUUAGCUAGUUGGUAAGGUAACGGCUUACCAAGGCAACGAUGCAUAGCCGACCUGAGAGGGUGAUCGGCCACACUGGAACUGAGACACGGUCCAGACUCCUACGGGAGGCAGCAGUAGGGAAUCUUCCGCAAUGGGCGAAAGCCUGACGGAGCAACGCCGCGUGAGUGAUGAAGGUCUUCGGAUCGUAAAACUCUGUUAUUAGGGAAGAACAUAUGUGUAAGUAACUGUGCACAUCUUGACGGUACCUAAUCAGAAAGCCACGGCUAACUACGUGCCAGCAGCCGCGGUAAUACGUAGGUGGCAAGCGUUAUCCGGAAUUAUUGGGCGUAAAGCGCGCGUAGGCGGUUUUUUAAGUCUGAUGUGAAAGCCCACGGCUCAACCGUGGAGGGUCAUUGGAAACUGGAAAACUUGAGUGCAGAAGAGGAAAGUGGAAUUCCAUGUGUAGCGGUGAAAUGCGCAGAGAUAUGGAGGAACACCAGUGGCGAAGGCGACUUUCUGGUCUGUAACUGACGCUGAUGUGCGAAAGCGUGGGGAUCAAACAGGAUUAGAUACCCUGGUAGUCCACGCCGUAAACGAUGAGUGCUAAGUGUUAGGGGGUUUCCGCCCCUUAGUGCUGCAGCUAACGCAUUAAGCACUCCGCCUGGGGAGUACGACCGCAAGGUUGAAACUCAAAGGAAUUGACGGGGACCCGCACAAGCGGUGGAGCAUGUGGUUUAAUUCGAAGCAACGCGAAGAACCUUACCAAAUCUUGACAUCCUUUGACAACUCUAGAGAUAGAGCCUUCCCCUUCGGGGGACAAAGUGACAGGUGGUGCAUGGUUGUCGUCAGCUCGUGUCGUGAGAUGUUGGGUUAAGUCCCGCAACGAGCGCAACCCUUAAGCUUAGUUGCCAUCAUUAAGUUGGGCACUCUAAGUUGACUGCCGGUGACAAACCGGAGGAAGGUGAGGAUGACGUCAAAUCAUCAUGCCCCUUAUGAUUUGGGCUACACACGUGCUACAAUGGACAAUACAAAGGGCAGCGAAACCGCGAGGUCAAGCAAAUCCCAUAAAGUUGUUCUCAGUUCGGAUUGUAGUCUGCAACUCGACUACAUGAAGCUGGAAUCGCUAGUAAUCGUAGAUCAGCAUGCUACGGUGAAUACGUUCCCGGGUCUUGUACACACCGCCCGUCACACCACGAGAGUUUGUAACACCCGAAGCCGGUGGAGUAACCUUUUAGGAGCUAGCCGUCGAAGGUGGGACAAAUGAUUGGGGUGAAGUCGUAACAAGGUAGCCGUAUCGGAAGGUGCGGCUGGAUCACCUCCUUUCUAA